AACGAACGCUGGCGGCAUGCCUAACACAUGCAAGUCGAACGAGAUCUUCGGAUCUAGUGGCGCACGGGUGCGUAACGCGUGGGAAUCUGCCCUUUGCUUCGGAAUAACAGUUAGAAAUGACUGCUAAUACCGGAUGAUGUCUUCGGACCAAAGAUUUAUCGGCAAAGGAUGAGCCCGCGUAGGAUUAGGUAGUUGGUGGGGUAAAGGCCUACCAAGCCGACGAUCCUUAGCUGGUCUGAGAGGAUGAUCAGCCACACUGGGACUGAGACACGGCCCAGACUCCUACGGAGGCAGCAGUGGGAAUAUUGGACAAUGGGCGAAAGCCUGAUCCAGCAAUGCCGCGUGAGUGAUGAAGGCC
rnacentral:rRNA from 1 species